rnacentral:hammerhead_ribozyme from 1 species
GUACUGCUGAACAGUUCCAGAAUAAGAUGAAACAGCUGUCCAGUAC